rnacentral:rRNA from 1 species
UACGGAAGGCAGCAGUGGGGAAUAUUGCACAAUGGGCGCAAGCCUGAUGCAGCCAUGCCGCGUGUAUGAAGAAGGCCUUCGGGUUGUAAAGUACUUUCAGUCGUGAGGAAGGUGUUAAGGUUAAUAACCUUAGCAAUUGACGUUAGCGACAGAAGAAGCACCGGCUAACUCCGUGCCAGCAGCCGCGGUAAUACGGAGGGUGCGAGCGUUAAUCGGAAUUACUGGGCGUAAAGGGCACGCAGGCGGUUAAUUAAGUUGGAUGUGAAAUCCCCGGGCUUAACCUGGGAAUGGCAUUCAAGACUGGUUAGCUAGAGUCUUGUAGAGGGGGUAGAAUUCCAUGUGUAGCGGUGAAAUGCGUAGAGAUGUGGAGGAAUACCGGUGGCGAAGGCGGCCCCUGGGACAAAGACUGACGCUCAUGUGCGAAAGCGUGGGGAGCAAACAGGAUUAGAUACCCUCUGAAGACUAACCCAAAGGGCAACAACAAGGGGAAUAGG